AGAGGUUUGAUUGAAAUUAUCUAAAGAUUAGUUUUAAAACUUAGAGUGUCUUGAUUAUUGAAACCUCCG
rnacentral:tRNA from 3 species